CAGAUAAGAAAAUUGAAGCCCAGAAGAUGGAAACACUAAGAGACUUCCCACUGGGUUCCAGCCGGCACACCCAACCUCUUCAGGACCUGGCUCUCCUAGACAGUGAUUAUCUUGGCACAUUGCCACGGUCAAGAGCGACACCUCAAGACCAAAUUAGAAACAGUCACAAUAGCUUCACUUCUGUCAAUGGUUCAGCCUGAGCAACAGGCAUAAACUUCAUUUUUCUUCACCUGAUACUCUCUGAUUCAACACCCUACAUUUCUGCCAGGCUUGUGUGGUCUCUUUAGAAUGGCCAUACUCUAAAAAAAUUGCAAAUGGAACUGCAAAUCCACUACCUGUGUGUCUUCGGACCAGCCAUGUCACUUUUGGAUUUCUCACUUAUGAGAUGCAGUAAUUGCCAGUUGCUCUCCCAAGCCUAAAGUACAAUGCCUUUUACCACAGUUAUUGAUGAACACUUAUCUGAAUUAAAAGGAACUUAGCAUCUUCUUAAC
rnacentral:lncRNA from 10 species